rnacentral:rRNA from 1 species
AGUGAACGCUGGCGGUAUGCCUAACACAUGCAAGUCGAACGGCAGCACAGUAAGUGCUUGCUCUUACGGGUUGCGAGUGGCGGACGGGUGAGAAAUACAUCGGAAUCUACUUUUUCGUGGGGGAGAACGAAGCGAAACUUACACUAAUACCGCAUACCACCUACGAGUGAAAGCAGGUCGUCUUCGGACCUUGCGCGAUUGCAGGAGCCGAUGUCGGAUUAGCUAGUUGUCGGGGUAAAGGCCCACCAAGGCGACGAUCCGUAGCUGGUCUGAGAGGAUGAUCAGCCACACUGGAACUGAGACACGGUCCAGACUCCUACGGGAGGCAGCAGUGGGGAAUAUUGGACAAUGGGCGCAAGCCUGAUCCAGCCAUACCGCGUGGGUGAAGAAGGCCUUCGGGUUGUAAAGCCCUUUUGUUGGGAAAGAAAAGCAGCAGGUUAAUACCCCGGUGUUAUGACGGUACCCAAAGAAUAAGCACCGGCUAACUUCGUG